UGGGGAAUAUUGGACAAUGGGCGCAAGCCUGAUCCAGCCAUGCCGCGUGAGUGAUGAAGGCCUUAGGGUUGUAAAGCUCUUUUAACGGGGAAGAUAAUGACGGUACCCGUAGAAUAAGCCCCGGCUAACUUCGUGCCAGCAGCCGCGGUAAUACGAAGGGGGCUAGCGUUGCUCGGAAUCACUGGGCGUAAAGCGCACGUAGGCGGAUCGUUAAGUCAGGGUGAAAUCCUGGAGCUCAACUCCAGAACUGCCUUUGAUACUGGCGACCUUGAGUUCGGGAGAGGUGAGUGGAACUGCGAGUGUAGAGGUGAAAUUCGUAGAUAUUCGCAAGAACACCAGUGGCGAAGGCGGCUCACUGGCCCAGAUACUGACGCUGAGGUGCGAAAGCGUGGGGAGCAAACAGGAUUAGAUACC
rnacentral:rRNA from 1 species